rnacentral:rRNA from 1 species
GACGAACGCUGGCGGCGUGCUUAACACAUGCAAGUCGAACGGAAAGGCCCUGCUUUUGUGGGGUGCUCGAGUGGCGAACGGGUGAGUAACACGUGAGUAACCUGCCCUUGACUUUGGGAUAACUUCAGGAAACUGGGGCUAAUACCGGAUAGGAGCUCCUGCUGCAUGGUGGGGGUUGGAAAGUUUCGGCGGUUGGGGAUGGACUCGCGGCUUAUCAGCUUGUUGGUGGGGUAGUGGCUUACCAAGGCUUUGACGGGUAGCCGGCCUGAGAGGGUGAACGGCGACAUUGGGACUGAGAUACGGCCCAGACUCCAACGGGAGGCAGCAGUGGGGAAUAUUGCACAAUGGGCGGAAGCCUGAUGCAGCAACGCCGCGUGCGGGAUGACGGCCUUCGGGUUGUAAACAGAUUUCGACUGUGACGAAGCGUGAGUGACGGUAAUGGGUAAAGAAGCACCGGCUAACUACGUG